AAUAUUGGACAAUGGGCGAAAGUCUGAUCCAGCCAUGCCGCUUGUCUGAGGAAGGUCUUCGCAUUGUAAAGCACCGUUAGUUGGUAGGAAGGCCAGUAGGUUAAUACCUUGCUGUUUUCAGGUUACCGACAGAAUGAGCACCGGCUAACUUCGUGUCAGCCGCCGCGGUAAUACGAAGGGUGCAAUCGUUAAUCGGAAUUACUGGGCGUAAAGCGCGCGUAGGUGGUUUGAUAAGUUGGAUGUGAAAGCCCCGGGCUCAACCUGGGAAUUGAAACCAAAACUGUAUGACUAGAGUAUGGCAGAGGGUGGUGGAAUUUCCUGUGUAGCGGUGAAAUGCGUAGAUAUAGGAAGGAACACCAGUGGCGAAGGCGACCACCUGGGCUAAUACUGACACUGAGGUGCGAAAGCGUGGGGAGCAAACAGG
rnacentral:rRNA from 1 species